ACUGCUCAGUAACACGUGGACAACCUGCCCUUAGGUUGGGUAUAAACCCGGGAAACUGGGUAUAAUUCCCGAUAGGUCUCGAUUGCUGGAAUGCAUCGAGAUUUAAAGCUCCGGCGCCUAAGGAUGGGUCUGCGGCCUAUCAGGUAGUAGUGGGUGUAGCGUACCUACUAGCCUACGACGGGUACGGGUUGUGAGAGCAAGAGCCCGGAGAUGGAUUCUGAGACACGAAUCCAGGCCCUACGGGGUGCAGCAGGCGCGAAAACUUUACAAUGCUGGCAACAGCGAUAAGGGAACCUCGAGUGCCAGGUUACAAAUCUGGCUGUCGAGAUGCCUAAAAAGCAUUUCAUAGCAAGGGCCGGGCAAGACCGGUGCCAGCCGCCGCGGUAACACCGGCGGCUCGAGUGGUAACCGUUAUUAUUGGGUCUAAAGGGUCUGUAGCCGGCCGGAUAAGUCUCUUGAGAAAUCUGGCAGCUUAACUGUCAGGCUUUCAGGAGAUACUGCCUGGCUCGAGGCCGGGAGAGGUGAGAGGUACUUCAGGGGUAGGGGUGAAAUCUUGUAAUCCUUGAAGGACCACCAGUGGCGAAGGCGUCUCACCAGAACGGACCUGACGGCAAGGGACGAAAGCUAGGGGCACGAACCGGAUUAGAUACCCGGGUAGUCCUAGCCGUAAACGAUACUCGCUAGGUGUCGGCCACGGUGCGACCGUUGUCGGUGCCGUAGGGAAGCCGUGAAGCGAGCCACCUGGGAAGUACGGCCGCAAGGCUGAAACUUAAAGGAAUUGGCGGGGGAGCAC
rnacentral:rRNA from 1 species